GUGAGUCUCUACUCUCUCUCUCUCUUCCAGGAUUUCCACCCUCGUCUCUAGCACACCUGAAACAGUCAACUUCUCCUGUUUAUCAUCUGCUGAUCAGUUGGAAACUGUUUAUUCUGGGAGCAAACGUUCAGUCUUUGCCUGAGUGUUGAAUCAACCACGUCAGGGAAACCAUAUCCCAUCGGUAAGUCUGUGUUUCUGUAGCUGCCUCCAUGAUGACUUACCUGUUCCUCUCCUCUGUGCAGGAGUCCUGCCAUUUUCGCAUGUGAGGGAGAAAUGUGUGAGAGAGCUGUGGAGGAGAUUCUGUUCGUCUUCGUGAGAUUAAAGCUCUGGAUUCAUUAACAAACUUUCCAAGGACCUUGUUAAUAAUGUCAGUUCCUCUUUUAGCAACUGUUUAUGCUGAUGUGUGACUUGCAGCUGGAGGAUGACCCGUAACAACUGUGCCGUGUUUUUGAUUUUCUUUUCUGUGGAUGAUCAUUCCUGGCAGAGCAGCAUGUCUUUAUCCUGUUUUCCUUCUCUCACCCCAACCGGUCGCAGCAGAUGGCCCCGCCCCUCCCUGAGCCUGGUUCUGCCGGAGGUUUCUUCCUGUUAAAAGGGAGAAGUUUCCUUCCCACUGUUGCCAAAGUGCUUGCUCAUAGAGGGUCAUAUGAUUGUUGGGUUUUUCUCUGUAUUUAUUAUUGUGCUAUCUACUGUACAAUAUAAAGCGACUUUUGUUGUGAUUUGGCGCUAUAUAAAUAAAAUUGAAUUGAAUUGAAUUACAAAAAACAUCACAUGGUGAAGACAGGUCAGAGAGGUAUAACAAUGGAAAAUGCACCACAUGAGGAAAGAUAAGGAGACACAUCAAAUUUACCAGGGAGGAUAUGAAAAGUGGCAGGUUAGCCUUCUUAGACUGUGAGAUUUCCAUCAGUAAUGGGGGACAUCUAAAAGCUGACGUGUACCGUAAACCUACACAUACGGAUCAGUAUCUAAGGUUUGACUCUCAUCAUCCACUGGAGCACAAACUGGGUGUCAUCAGGACGCUACAACACAGAGCGAACACCAUCCCCACAGACACAGCAGCCAGGGAGGCAGAAGAACAGCACAUCAAGAAGGCCCUGAGUAAAUGUGGUUAUCCCAGCUGGACUUUUGUCAAAGCGGGAAAGGCACCUAAACAAAGCUUUGGCCGUCCAGGAGAGAAGGACAACCGCUGCCCAGGCGAAAACCUGUAGUGAUCCCAUAUGUGUCAGGAGUAUCGGAGCAGUUGAGAUGCAUUUUUUCUAAACACCGGGUCUCUGUGGCUUUUAAACCCCAAAACAUGCUGCACCAAAAAGUGGUCCACCCUAAGGAUCGGGUCCCCCGACACAAACAGAGUAACAUAGUGUACGCUGUUAAGUGCCAGGAGGAUUGCCAGGAUUUAUACAUUGGGGAAACCAAACAACCUCUGGCGAAGCGGAUGGCACAACACAGAAGAGCUACCUCGUCAGGCCAGGACUCUGCAGUCUAUUCACACCUACAGACCAGUGGACACUCUUUCAAUGAUGAGGAUGUACACAUCCUGGACAGGGAGGAACGCUGGUUUGAGGGCGGAGUCAAGGAGGCCAUUUACGUGAAAAGGGAAAGACCAUCUCUGAAUCACCACCAGAAGGCAGCAGGUUCUGUAGCAGGAGUAACUGUGUUUAGAGUGUUUUAAAAUGUGAAAGUAUAGGCAAACUUUUAACAUCUCUAAAACCUUCUCCUUCUCUUAUCACAGCCCUCAUAGAUGUCUGAAUAGUCUAAACUCACAAGUAACCAUAAUAGACCAGAAAAAGAAAUCUUAUUGAUGCAAAUCUUCUCUAACACCUUCACGUAGCAGGUAUCAAACUAAUGAGACACUUUUUCUCUUCCCGUUGACAAGAACUUGACAUGGACUUGAAUUCUCCAUACUUACUGUUCGUUUUGUUGAGGGUGUCCAAAUUACUAAGGUAGACCAAACAGGAGAACCAAUGGGACACAGCUUUGUUUCACAAACAAGUGGAGCUGGGUACAGGGGGAUGGCAUGAGCUUGCUUGGGGUCAAGGGUUCUUCCAGGUCCAGGAUAAAAGAAGUUCCAUAAAAAUUCUUAUCCAGUCUAAUUCAUGCUCCUCAAAGUCUAUCGAUUUAUUGGAUUGUGAACAUUAGAGUUCAGAGGGUUUCAGGGCUGCUGGGCAUUCGUAGAGAACAAAAUAUUCCAUCUAUACUGUUGAAAUGAAUUUUUUAAUAUUUGUCACAUAGAGCAUUGCACAGUGCUUUACAUGAUACACAAGUCCCCCCAAAAUAGUUCCACUUGCAGGGUUGUUGUUGGUUGUUGCUGUGUGUCUGUUCUGCUCCUACUGUCCUCUAUAUAUCACAAUGAGUACCAGCUCAUAAAAUAUAUGGCUCUUGAAGUACCGCCCUUAUUGCCGACAUUAAAGUACAGUAGUUUAGGCCUAUUUAACACCAUAUACAGUUUACUUGAAACAAUUUCAUUUCAUAUAUGAAUGUUAUUCAUUUUAACGGUCAGAAUGUGACAGGAGUUUAAUAAUAACAACUGUACUGCAUUAAAACUCCACAGCAGGUGGGAUAUCCAGUCUUUAAGUGAUGACCUGAUGAAACUUGCUUCCGGGUCCAAACUACAUUUAUAAAGGCUGUUGUGUUUUUAACAUGGUUUAAUGCUUUGUAUUUUUUUUUCUGUUUCAUAUGAACAAACCCCUCCUGGCAUUCUCCUGGCUCCUGGGAGUUUCGGCAUCCAGGCAAUAGUUUCCAACUCACCAACGGUAUCUCCCGGGCCAUCAGCGUGACAGCACCGUGCCGUCUUUGCAGUUUUAAGGCUCAGGGAAACGCUCUUUAGCGGCCACGACCGCUGGCAAAAAGGAAAGGCUACUCUUUAUAAAAAGGCAACCGUCAUCACAUUUUCUGACCAAUCAUAACAGCCCAUUUCACACAUAUCUUUAAAUCAUCCUCUGCCGAGCAGCCUCUGAACCAUGAAGAAACUUUCCUGAACUUUACACUGGUGUGUAGUGUUACACAGCAUGAUGUUUCACUGUGAGUCUGGAGUUUUCAUCACAGUAAACCUGCAUAACUCCUGUUGUUUUUUUAAUAUAGAAAGUAGAAGCAUAGGUGGGAAUAAACACCCCCCCCCCCCCCACAAAAAAAAACCCCAAACAAAAAAACAAACACAAACCAAAACUCAUCUGUUAUGAAAAAAUUGUAUAGUGUGUAUAGUGCAGGUGGAGCGGUGCUGCCUUCAACAUCCUCCUUUUAUUAUCUCACAUUGUAGAGACUGUAAUAAAAACACAGGGACCAGACUUGGUUUUUAGAGAGAAGUUUGGCAAACAAGGAAAACUGAGAACAUUUUUUAUUUUUAUUACUUCACUUUUGUUUCAUAGCAGCCACAGGAUGGCACCAGAGUCCAGUUAAAAAAACAAAGUUUAAAAUCUGUUUUUCUUCACACCCCUUCACGCUCUUCUUUAUGUUUACAUCCAAAAUGUAAUUUAAGGUCCCCACAGUUCCCACGGACAAACAAAUCUAACUAAAAUCUGCAGUGAUGAAUGAGCAGAGAACCCAACCCCAAAUCCUCCAAUCAUGUACACCUGACAUCAGAGCGGUGACAAUGAACAGACCAACCAAGUUUUUUUUUCGUCUUUUUUCACGGAUUAGAGCUGAAAGAAGAAAUUCGUCUUGCUGGGAGCUAUUUUCAGAAGCAGAUUACAUACUGCACUAAAGAUUUCUUGCAGGUAGAAGGCUGGAUUGACUCAAGAUAAACUACACUGCAUGUGUUCAUUGUAAUAAGACAACGUGACCACUGACUGAGCCCACUGACACACACUGCCUAAACAAAUAGUCCGUGUUUAUUUCCAAGAAACCUUUUGACAUAACCUCAAAAAAGCGCGAGCUGGCAGUGGACUCCAUAAUUGGUCAUAAUGGCUCAUUACCUGUGUGGACUCAGACUGUGGAGGCAAUAGUAGAUACAAAGAGUCAGCCACGCUGUUCAGCACAGAACUUACGGAGCAUCAAAACUGCACACAUUCCCUUUAUCAUCAAACUCUGAUACACCUGACUGUGUAAAAUCUGACAUUAAAAAUUUGAAAUUAAUCAGAUGUUAAAGAUUAUUUUUCAAAAAUGAUUAUCUAAUAAUUAUCUAAUAGAGGCAGUAUCUUGGUUACAUCUCUUGGAUGAAUGGAUGACAGGGUGCUACAGCAGAGGCUUUCAUCUGAUUAAUGCCAG
ensembl:lncRNA